UAAGGAAUAUUCCGCAAUGGAUGAAAGCAUGAUCCAGCCAUGCCGCGUGUGUGAAGAAGGUCUUAGGAUCGUAAAGCACUGUUAAGUUGGGAGGAAGGGCAGUAAAUUAAUACUUUGCUGUUUUUCGUAACCGACAGAAUAAGCACCGGCUAACUCUGUUGCCAGCAGCCGCGGUAAUACAGAGGGAGCAAGCGUUAAUCGGAAUUACUGGGCGUAAAGCGCGCGUAGGUGGUUCGUUAAGUAGGAUGUGAAAUCCUCGGGCUCAUCCUGGGAAAACAUUCAAAACGUCGACUAGAGUAUGGUGAGGGUGGUGGAAUUUCCUGUGUAGCGGUGAAAUGCUAGAUAUUGGGAGGAACACCGGUGGGAAGGCGGCUCACUUGCCGGAAUGUCGGUAGGCGGAAAGCGUGGGGAGCAAACGGGAUUAGAUACCCCGCUAGUUCUCGCCGUAAACGAUGAGUGUUGUGUAGCGGGUAUCGACCCCUGCUGUGCCGAAGUUAACGCAUUAAGCACUCCGCCUGGGGAGUACGGUCGCAAGGCUG
rnacentral:rRNA from 1 species